UACGAAGGGGACUAGCGUUGUUCGGAAUUACUGGGCGUAAAGCGCACGUAGGCGGAUUUGUAAGUCAGGGGUGAAAUCCCGGGGCUCAACCUCGGAACUGCCUUUGAUACUGCAAAUCUCGAGUCCGAUAGAGGUGGGUGGAAUUCCUAGUGUAGAGGUGAAAAUUCGUAGAUAUUCGGAAGAACACCAGUGGCGAAGGCGACUUACUGGACACAUAUUGACGCUGAGGUGCGAA
rnacentral:rRNA from 1 species